rnacentral:rRNA from 1 species
UACGGGGGGGGCAAGCGUUGUUCGGAAUUACUGGGCGUAAAGGGCUCGUAGGUGGCCAACUAAGUCAGACGUGAAAUCCCUCGGCUUAACCGGGGAACUGCGUCUGAUACUGGAUGGCUUGAGUUUGGGAGAGGGAUGCGGAAUUCCAGGUGUAGCGGUGAAAUGCGUAGAUAUCGGAAGGAACACCGGUGGCGAAAGCGGCGCGCUGGACCUCUUCUGACGCUGAGGCGCGAAAGCCAGGGGAGCAAACGGG